rnacentral:lncRNA from 1 species
GGCAGCCGAAGUGACGGCGGCGGUCGCCUCGCGCCGCCGUGAGGGAGGCGCCGGGCCGCUGCGCGCGGCUCUUCCCGCCGCUGGAGGCGCGCGCCUGAGGGCGAGCUGUGAGCGCCGUUACCGCGCGCUGCGUGCGCCUUCCGGGAGUCGCUGCCGCCCACUCGUUCCGUUUCUUGAGCCCGGGGCUUUGUAAAUCAAAUCGUGCUCGGCUUCAUGAAAAAAGUGAGGCGGGUGGAGCGUGACAAUGGGAAGUGGCCAAGAAAUUGUGAGCAGCCGAUCAGAACGCGCUGCUAGUUCAACAGUCUUGUUUGGAUAACCACGUACAGACACAGCUGCAAGUAGCACUAGGUGCCACGGCAUUCAUUGAAAGUACCUUCGGUAUCGUAGCAUGGUGUCGUUGAGCAGCUGGAAAUUCAGAGUUCUGGCAACACAUUAGCAGUCACAUCCCUUCAGAACAUCAACAAACAUUCUGAAGAAUAGCUUCAUUCCUUGAACCAGAUUUUCAAAGUGCACAAAUACACCUGCGUGGAAAUCCAAAGGAAACAGUUCCAGAAACAGUACUGCAACCUGUUUAUUCCGACUGUGUGAUGUAGUUCCUACGAAAGAACUUGUAGCAGCAGCCAUAGAAAUACUUCAGGGAAUGAGAAGAUCCUUGAGAAGCAACCGAAGGGAAAAACAUCUGGAAAAUAGACAUUUGCUGACUGAAAAGCUAUUUAAGAGAACUAAUAUCAUUAAAUAGCCCUUUUAUUUCUGACCCUUUUCUCCAAAGAAAUCUAUUCUCUAAAAUGUGGGUGCUAUUGCUGCCUUGAUAUUACCUGAAAUUGAAACAUUUGUUAUCGCUUGAGGAAAUUGAAGUUUAGAUCUGAAAAUGCAUCCAAUAAUAAGGCUCAUUAAGAAACAGCACUGUGUAGAAGUACAGAAAUUCACAAAAAAAAAAAAAAAAAAAAAAAGAAUUGGGCACUAGAUAAUGAAAAAGCAGAACUUGUGGAUUAAGCUUUUAAGUUACCUACUGUUAUGUAAAAGCUUUUCCUGGCUCCUAUUUUAUAGCUCUCAUUAGUCUCCACUUAAGAACAUUUUCCAUGUUCUCAUUUGCAUACAUUCUGUAACUCUUAUUCUGAAAGUAGUUAUACUCUCAUUCUGGAAGUAUUGGGUGCAUUAAAAAGAGUGUUGGUUUAAAAAGGGUAUGGCCAGCAGGUGAAGGGAUGUGAUCCUCCCCCUCUAUUCUGCCCCAGUGAGGCCACGUCUGGAGUACUGUGUACGCUUCUGGGCUCCCCAGUUCAAAAUAAGAAAGGGAUCUCCUAGAAGGAGUCCAGCAGAGGGCAACAAAGAUGAUAAAGAGCCUGGAGCAUCUCCUCUAUGAGCAAAGGCUGAGAGAGCCGGGGAUAUUCAGCCUGGAGAAGAGAAGACUGAGAGGAGAUCUGAUCUAUGUUUAUAAAUAUCUAAAGUGUGGGAGGCAACUGGAUGAGGUCAGAUGGUUUUCAGUGGUGUAUAGUGACAGGACAAGGAGCAAUGGCCAAAAACUGGAACACAGGAAGUUCCACAUAAAUAUGCAGAAGUUUUUUACAGUGGAGCUGAUACAGCAUUGGAACAGGCUGCCCAGAGAGGUGGUGGAGUCUCCUUCUUUGGUGAUAUUCAAUACUGGCCUAGGCACCUGCCAUUGCAAACUGCUGUAGGGAACGUGCUUUAGUGGGGGGUUGGACUCUUUGAUCCCUUCCAACUCCUGCAACUCUGUGAUUCUGUGACAUAUUUAACUCUCCAACACACCCGAAAAUAUACAUAUUUAAAUAUAUGUAUAUUUAAAAUAAAUAGACUGCAGGUAAAUACUUCUGUGCUUGGCUAAUUAAGUCUAUCUUGUAAAAGAUAUGUAGGAAGUCAUAUAGCACUAUCUGAAACAGUUUCUGACUUCUUUUUGCAAUUUGCCCUACUUGGCUAUUGUGUGCAAAAUAAAAACAGGAAAAUAUAUAUAAAAUAAAAUAAAAUAAAAUAAAAUAAAAUAAAAUAAAAUAAAAUGUAUCAUUUUCCUUUCUCUUCUUUAUUUAACACAAAAAUAAAGCACACCAUACUGGAAAGGUCUCCCAAGAGAAGAGUGAAGUACUUAUGUUGCAUAGAAAGAAAUUAAAGUACACAUGUUUAUUGCAUAGAAAGAAAUUAAAGUACAUAUAUUUAAUGCAUGCUUUUGAAAAUCUGUAAGACAGUCAAAAAGACAAAUACAUAUCUGCUUAAAAUAAGCACACACAUUAAAUUACUUUCCUCUGCUUUGAAACUUACAUAUAGCA